rnacentral:tRNA from 1 species
UCUCUGGUGGCUCAGUGGUAAAGAAUCUGCCUGCCAAUGCAGGAGACACAGGUUCCAUCCCUGAUCAGGGAA